rnacentral:rRNA from 1 species
GCCCUUAGAGUUUGAUCCUGGCUCAGAACGAACGUUGGCGGCGUGGAUUAGGCAUGCAAGUCGAACGAAUGCCGAGGGGGUAACUCCAAGGCGGAAGUAGCGAAAGGGGCAGUAAUGCAUGGGUAACCUACCCUGGGGAUGGGCAUAGCCGGUCUAACGGCCGGGUAAUUCCCAGAGAUUCGGCGAAGCGGCAUCGCUUUGCCGGGAAAUGAGUUUCGCUUCGGGAGGGGCCCAUGUCGUAUUAGCUAGUUGGUGGGGUAACGGCCUACCAAGGCAAAGAUGCGUAGCGGGUGUGAGAGCACGACCCGCGCCACUGGCACUGUGACACUGGCCAGACACCUACGGGUGGCUGCAGUCGAGGAUCUUCGUCAAUGGGCGAAAGCCUGAACGAGCGACGCCGCGUGCGCGAUGAAGGCAUCCGUGUUGUAAAGCGCAAAAGUGGGGACGAAGCCGAAAGGUUGACUGAUCCACAGUAAGCUCGGGCUAAGUUCGUGCCAGCAGCCGCGGUAAGACGAACCGAGCGAACGUUGUUCGGAAUCACUGGGCUUAAAGGGCGCGUAGGCGGGUAGCUAAGUCUGUGGUGAAAUCCGGCAGCUCAACUGUCGAAUUGCCCUGGAUACUGGCUAUCUCGAGGAAGGUAGGGGCAUGCGGAACUAUUGGUGGAGCGGUGAAAUGCGUUGAUAUCAAUAGGAACUCCGGUGGCGAAGGCGGCAUGCUGGACCUUUUCUGACGCUGAGGCGCGAAAGCCAGGGGAGCAAACGGGAUUAGAUACCCCGGUAGUCCUGGCCCUAAACGUUGGGUACUAGAUAGUAGUCUUCACAUGGGAUUACUGUCGAAGCAAAAGUGCUAAGUACCCCGCCUGGGGAGUAUGGUCGCAAGGCUGAAACUCAAAUGAAUUGACGGGGAAGGGC